GCAAGACCCUUCACAAGUAAGAAGAUUAUGACCCACUGUAUGCUCAGAUUAUCAUCAGCAAUUUUUAGCAACACAAUACUUAUAAUUAGGGAGAUUCGGCAUGGACUCUCCCACCACCAUUAUGAAAGAUACAGAGAGAGAUUAGUCAAUAGAAGGAGAACAAGCUGGCUGAACCAAAGAUUGACUAAAGAUCAGAGCAAUGAAAGAGAAAAGAGGAGGAAUUUUUUAAAGGAAUAAACCAACUCAUCCACCUGCUCUUGCAAAGCAGGGAAUCAAUUAUGCCAACAAAGGGAGGCACAAUGAAAAUUGCAGAGAGAAAGCCCAUGAAUGAAUGAGCUUGCGCAGGGUGUGGAUAGAUUGAAAUAUACAGGCUGACCCAGGGGAAGAGAAAGAUGACGCAAGUGGAUGGCAAAGAAAAGGAAGGUGGGUGGCCAAGCAGGUGCCCACAAUGCUGGGCAAAUAGGAGCAAUCAGGGGUAGGGACAGAAUUAUUUCCCUUCCAGAGAACUCCCUUUUGAUGCUGAACUAGUUGAGACGCUGGAAUUAGUAUCAGAAGAGGCCACCUGCACCACUUCAGAGCACAGUCAUCCUUCUGAUUGCUACAUAACAAAGAAUGCACUAGCAAGCAGCAACAUUUUUUCUUUGUUUUUAUGCAGCUUCCUAAAGCCCAGCUGAAUUCAAAAGCAGCCGUGUGACUCCUUCUUAGCAAACACCACACACACACACACACACACACACACACACACACACAGAAGAUGGGGGCAUUACCGAGUUGUUGAAAUUAAGUUGCCUGCUGUGUCAGAAUAGUCAAGAAAGAGCAGAGAUAACAUGAUUCCAGCCAUAACCUAUAGAUAAUUCUUAAUGGUGAAGUGAUUUUAAUGAGGAAGAAAAGACUGAUUUACAACCAUCAAGUUCUGUUAAUAUGAACUCAGUACAAGUGCUGAAUUACAUUCACUGGGUAAGAAAAAAAAAAAAGGAAGGUAGUUUUGAUCACACUUCUUCCCCACUCAGAAACCUUCAAUGACUGCCAAUGUCUUUCAGAACAAUGUCUAAACUCACAAGCGUGUUGCUCAGGGAUUUCCACUGCCUGAUUUUAAUCUGGGUUUUCAUCCAUGGGCAGCCUAUCUGCCAACUCAAACGAGCUAAGUUGACUUCCUCUCUUCUCUUUGACUUUAUUUCCCUUCUCUGUUUCUAUCAGCCAAAAUCUACCUGUUCUCCAAGACUCUGCUCAAAUACAAUCUCUUUCUUCAAGCCUUCUCAGAUGUCUCCACGUGAAAGUAAUAUUUA
rnacentral:lncRNA from 10 species